rnacentral:lncRNA from 1 species
ACUUUAUCCUAAUCCCUACAUACAAAACAAAACGUACAUUUUGAUAUUAUUUACAAAGAAUUUUCGAUUCUCCUCUUUGUUGCGCUUGACUUUAUUUGAAGAGCGAGUGUAGAUUUGAGGCCGAUAACGUCCAUUCACUGCUCCGCAAGAGGUAAAAUCGGCUCCUGUUCUGACCUUUGUUUUUCUUUUUAUUAAAAUUUCAUUAUUUUUUUUUUGCUUGAAAAAAUCAUGUUCUAGAGUCCAAGUGUAUGCAGAUGCGUUUUGUGAUAAGUCAUGAAGUUAUUUAUUCUUUUCGAGUCUCAAAAGAUAUAAACAAACGUUUUCUUUGAGUUUUUCAUGUCAAAGAAACAUGUUUGUAGUUCUUUUCCCCCAAGUCUUUUUCAUAUAUUCAAACUUGUGUUCUUAGAAAUUCUCACCUGCCAAAAUGAGUGUAUGUUUAUUUUAAAUUAAGUACAUAGUUGUGUAUUACAUUAAAUAUAGAUAGAUCUUUUGCCUUGAAAUGGACGUUCUAUGCGUGUGACGUACACCAUAUGUUAUUCACACUCUUCUACACUCUUUAAUUAUUAUAUU